rnacentral:rRNA from 1 species
CCUACGGGAGGCAGCAGUGAGGAAUAUUGGUCAAUGGCCGGAAGGCUGAACCAGCCAUGCCGCGUGAAGGUCAGUGCCCUAUGGGCGUUAAACUUCUUUUGUGCGGGAGCAAUAAUGGUCACGUGUGGCCAGACGAGAGUACCGUACGAAUAAGCAUCGGCUAACUCCGUGCCAGCAGCCGCGGUAAUACGGGGGAUGCAAGCGUUAUCCGGAUUUAUUGGGUUUAAAGGGUGCGUAGGCUGGGAGGUAAGUCAGCGGUGAAAUGCCACCGCUCAACGGGGUGAAGUGCCAUUGAUACUGCCUGGCUGGAAUGCGGAUGCCGUGGGAGGAAUGUGUGGUGUAGCGGUGAAAUGCAUAGAUAGCACACAGAACACCGAUUGCGAAGGCAUCUCACGAAUCCGCGAUUGACGCUGAUGCACGAAAGCGUGGGUAUCAAACAGGAUUAGAUACCCCAGUAGUC